UUGAGAUAUGAAAAAUUAGGGGGCAAUAAUUUUUUAGAGUUUUUUUGUUUGCUGCAAAUUUCCCCAUAAUGAAAGAGAGGAUUUUCCCAAAUUUUCAUAGCAACUUUCAUCAUCUUUCACUUCAUGUACAACACUAUUAAAUAGAACUAAACCUAGAGGCUUGACGUUGGAAAAAGGCAAAGGGGGCUUGGGCAUAGGAUGCAUCCAAUGCACAAUCAACUUAUCAGGGGGGGGAUUAGGGUUUUGUUCAACAAUGGAGGGUGGGAGAGUUUUAAUAAGUGAAAAGAUCAAUAAUACGCUAAAAGUGAUUUGGGGUGUAUUUAGAAAUUUUUAUUUUUUUUAAAACCUAAUAAGGUCAAAAUUGUCAUUGCAUAAUGGGGUAAAUAAGUCAUUUAAUAUUAAAUUUUAAUGUGGGGUGCAUUCAACAUUUUGUAGGGUGCUAAUAUAAAAAACCUAAGAUAACUAGGAAAUAAAAGGUUUCCUAUUUAAACUGAAAUUCGGACUUCUCAGAAAAUCUGACUUUUGACCAACCAAAUCAACUCCAAUUUGAUCCCAAAAUGUCUCUUUUGAAAGCUGGAGACGUCGUUUACAAAUCCUCAGAAGGAAUCUUCCUCAUAUGCCAUAUUGACCUCCAAAAUACUCAAAGUAUCCAGAAACGUCACAAAAUAACCACUAAAUUAUAACUAAAAUUAGGGUAAAAUAUAUAGUAUAAUAUCGACUCAUCACCCUUCAUCGCUCAUUCUAUUGUUUAAUGAUCACUUUCUCUAGCAAAAGUGCCUCUCAACAUGAUGAUUAGUUCAUGAGAAUCCAUAUCUUUUCAUUAAAAAGAAUGUAGUAUAAUGUGUCUUUUCUCUCUAAAGCCUUAUAAACAACAUGAAUAUAGUAGCUUUAAGUUCCACCUCCAAGGCAGUAGCAAUGUCAAAAGAUUCUACAAGGCAUCCAAAACAAUGACCCAAGUGGUCAUGGAAAAUACCACCAAAACCAGCCGUGCCUGAACCAUAAGUUGCACCAUCAAUGUUAACUUUAACUUGAAAAGCACAAGGAGAAAGCCAAAGAACCUCAUGAACUCUAGGCGCCCUUGUAGGCAUUCCAUACACUCACUUGUAGUAGAAUAAGGAGCCCUAGAUGAUAUUCUUGCGGUAGGGUUGUUUGAGAUAUGAAAAAUUAGGAGCAAUAAUUUUUUAGAGUUUUUUUGUUUGCUGCAAAUUUCCCUAGAAUGAAAGAGAGGAUUUUCCCAAAUUUUCAUAGCAACUUUCAUCAUCUUUCACUUCAUGUACAACACUAUUAAAUAGAACUAGACCUAGAGGCUU
rnacentral:lncRNA from 1 species